rnacentral:rRNA from 1 species
UGGGGAAUAUUGCACAAUGGGCGCAAGCCUGAUGCAGCCAUGCCGCGUGUAUGAAGAAGGCCUUCGGGUUGUAAAGUACUUUCAGCGGGGAGGAAGGCGAUAAGGUUAAUAACCUUGUCGAUUGACGUUACCCGCAGAAGAAGCACCGGCUAACUCCGUGCCAGCAGCCGCGGUAAUACGGAGGGUGCAAGCGUUAAUCGGAAUUACUGGGCGUAAAGCGCACGCAGGCGGUCUGUCAAGUCGGAUGUGAAAUCCCCGGGCUCAACCUGGGAACUGCAUUCGAAACUGGCAGGCUAGAGUCUUGUAGAGGGGGGUAGAAUUCCAGGUGUAGCGGUGAAAUGCGUAGAGAUCUGGAGGAAUACCGGUGGCGAAGGCGGCCCCCUGGACAAAGACUGACGCUCAGGUGCGAAAGCGUGGGGAGCAACCA